rnacentral:ncRNA from 1 species
UUGAGCCGGAUGAAAGGAAACUUUCACGUCCGAUUUUGAAGGGGGAGAUCCUAUAGAAUCCUAUCCCAAUUUUUCUUUUACUAGGUCCAUAACUAAAAAGCCCACUUUCU